UCUCCGUAGGUGAACCUGCGGAGGGAUCAUUACUGAGUGAGGGCUCCGGCCCGACCUCCAACCCCAUGUGAACCGAAACCUGUUGCUUCGGGGGCGACCCUGCCUUUCGGCGCGGCGCCCCCGGAGGAUAUCAAAACGCUGCAUCUUUGCGUCGGAGUAUCAAUCAAAUUGAACAAAACUUUCAACAACGGAUCUCUUGGUUCUGGCAUCGAUGAAGAACGCAGC
rnacentral:misc_RNA from 1 species